CAUCCCACGUCAAAAUUUAUUAUUUCUUAAGAGCUGCGACCCCGAAUAGCAGGUGACUAAACUAAAACAUUUAAUCGAAACCGAACACCACGUCAUUCAGGAUCAAAUUAUCAAGAUACAACUUAUACGAAUGGUCUGAUAAGGGAAGAUGUACUAAUAAAAUGAAAUAAAGCCAAAGUGUGAGCGACCAAAGUCCGAUGCAGUUUACAUAAUGAUAGGCUUCAGAAAAGUCAGUACACAACAUCCUAACCUACAAACUAAUAUGUCGGCCCUUAAGGAGUUAGUUUGCACCGAUCAGUACAGAGAUUAAAUUAAGUUAACACCAUUUAUAAAAAUUAAAAUUAGAAUUUAUCAGAAAGUAACAUUGUUCAUUAAUCAUAUGAAUCGCACACUCACACGUAUACAUACACACAGUCACAAAUAAGACAAGGGCAGUCUACAGUGACGUAACUUGAUUAAACAACAUUAAGAUGCUGUCAGAUAAUAAUGUGAGUAAUAACAGUCCAUUAGGGAUAAUAAUAUAACUUCAAAUCCACAGGUCAACCCGGAAUGUCGUUUAAAUAUUUACUUGAUGAAGAUAUGGCAAAGAAGCUAUCACUGUGACUAUUAUAGCGAUGAAAUACACAAAGGUGAAACUGAAAACAGGAUUAACAGAAACUAUCAGGAUGGGAAUAGCCAAAAUCAAAGAGAGGAAACAUAGCACACCUGAUCACGCUCAAACUAUCAUCAGACCCUCAACCGCUCGGGGAGACCAAUGCAACCACAAAACCGACCUCAGCAAUUACCCCAAGAAUGCUACCAAGGACGAAGCGAAUAAGUAAGCAAAUAGCAUGCAUUAACCCCGUUAGCAAAAGAAGAAGAGGAAGAAGUAAAGACGGAAAGAGCCAGCCACCGUAUUGUCUACAAAAACACUCAUUCGCUGUACCAGAUCCAGUAACCAAUCAUUCAUAGAAGAUAAGACAACAUCCCUUUAUCACAUGAUCGACUAGGAAUUGGAAAUUUAAGUUCGGUACUAAGAACCGAAAACACAUCGGCAAAGAAAAGUCAAUCAAUCAAGGGAAAGAAAUCAGCAUGAUGAGCAGCAACAGCAAAGUGUCGUCACUCAGUCAUGAUCACAAAAGGUAUCUUAAAAUAGAAAUAACCAGAGGAUCAACGGGCUACAUCAGAAUACAAUUAAGCAUACAAUCAAAUAUGCAAUCAAGUGCGACAAGAAAAAACCACCCAGGUGGCUCCUAUGAUCAGCCCAGUUCCAAGAGGCAGAACUACUUAGGUCAAUGUAAUAAUUCAAAUACUUAGGGCGAACAUAACAAAAUCAAAUCAAAAUCAAUUAUCAAUUACGAGGAAAGAAUAUUUGUCAUUCAUAUCACCGUCAUUAUCAAUGUCAUCCCAGAUCGACCAUCCACAAAGCCAUCAUCAGCACCCGCAUUACCAAAAAGACCAAGGCCAUAACAGAGAGCAAUCUUCAGCAGUUACCUCAAAAGGCAUAGUCGACAAUAAAUGGACAAGCGAGCGAACGGGCAUGAAUUAAUCCAAUUGAGGGAAGAAGGAUAGAAAGAAAGUCUAUAAGAGACAAAAGAAGUAAAAGAAAAAGGGGGAACGGAAAAACGGGGAAUCUGUAUAUCCCAGGCAGGCAAGGUAUAUAAUUGAAAAGAAAUUGCAUCAAAUCAGUUGCAUAGAGAAAGAGAGCUACCAGUCCCCAUCACACAGUCAAUCAACAAUCUAGGGACAAACAGCAAAGGCACACCAACAAGAAGAAUAAUGUUGAAAAGCGUACCACCGUGAAUCAUGACAAAGUGUACAUAUAAAAGGAACUUGAAAUUAACAAAACUCAAGGAAGAUAUUGGCAGCAAACGAUGAUGACACAGUCACCGACUAAGAUAAGAAACAUCCAAGCUGUCUGUCCGUGCAACUGCAUGCCAAGGGGAAAGCCCAUUCCCCACUAUGGGAAGAGCCACAACCCCGUUGUAUAAACUUUAAACUCAAAGAAAAGCAAUGCGUAGCAGUGCUCGCACACCCAAUCCGCCAGUCAAACAGGGUUAGAGUUUGCAUCAGGCCAAAUAAAGCAAUCAAGCAAUCACCAGUUUAAUAAAUUAAUAAAUUAAUAUUACUUAUGCACUGCAUAAAAUCCUACAAGGGAGAUGCACUUGCGAAAAAAGGGGGGUUAAGAGUUACCAUAGCAGCUCCUGAAAGUAAUAUAUCGCCGGGAGUCCCGAUAGUGAGUAGAAUGUACAAACUGUAAGAUACAAUCGUGAUAAAGCCAGUCAAUGUCGGGUCCCACUCACACGCACCAUUUACUCAACUAUCAAUUACAGAAUAUGACUUAAAAUAAAGCAAGAAGGCUUGACAUAAAAGCAAGGUGAAAACAGGAUGAAGCAUACUGUAAGUAUCUCGUCCCAUAAUAAUGCACAAGCACCCAUAAACGAGAGUGUAACUAUAAACAAGAGUAUUCAGCAGCAGACAGAAGGAAAAGCGAGACUGACCAGUACGGGCGAUCACAAAUCAGAAGCAAAAAAGCAUAAGACGUAAAGGCAAAAGUAAAAGAAACUAAUUCGCCCUUACAGGAUUGAAUCAGUCAAGCUUAUAAACCAUAUCCAAUUCAGUGACGCAACCAUACGAUAAUUACAAAGGAAGAGAGUGUGCAGAAACAUGAACAUCACAGCAAUGAGAAUGAUGCUACAUCACUUCUAAUAACAGAAGAACAGGAAAAAACGACGACAGACCAAGCGCAAUUAAUCGAUGUAUUUGAAAU